GCAUUAUCAUACCUACAACUCUCUCCACAUAUGGGUCAUGAAGACCUACAUCAGGUGUGCCUAAGGCUGCUUUUCUCCCACACCCUUUCAGGUGUGGUUUCCCACCUUGCCUUAGUAAAUACAUGAAUGAAAGGUACUAAGGACACAGACUCUCUCUUUCAGACUACACAUGCUUAAACCGGUGCCUGAGUUUUUUGGGGGAAAAAAAUCUGUUUUGUUUAUUGAGGUAUAGAGCUUUUCAGAAAGCAGGAGUGUGGUGUCUCCUAGACCUCAUGGAUUCCCUAUUUUUUCCUCGGUUUCUACUUAUAGCAUUCACACUUCCUGCUACAGGAGACUAACUGCAGCAAAAUGUUUUCAGUCUGCCAGAAGGAUCGCUUAUAAGAUCUUCAGAAGCAGUCAGGCUCUCAGCUGUGCCUCUACUCAUCUAAACCCUUCAGAUGGGCACUACUGACACCUACCUCUGCCACUGAACCCAGUGGGUGCCUUGACUGAUGAAAAAACUCCUAAUGGAAUUCACUGUCCACCAUGAAUGAAGUGAUUGGGGUUGCAGCUCAAGCGAGAAGACCUUGCAAAUAGGCACCUUGCUAGUAAGACCCGAUCUCCCACUUAUGACAUGUACUGAAUCAGGAUAAGUUAAAGGUCAGAGCCCUCAGACACAAUUUGGACUGCUUAGGUGUGUUUGCAACCUCUGUUGUGAUGUGAGCUUUGCCCUCUGUAUUAAAGGGGAUUUCCCUAAAUGUCAGGUUUGGGGUUGAUCUCUCUUACUGAAUAGCAACAGGAUAAUGCCACUGCAUUUAAGUGGUGAGGCUUGAUGAGCAGGGUAUAAACCUGACUCCCUAGACCACUGGUUCAUAAACCGUAGUAUGUUGGAGACUCUGUGCCCUACCUAACUGUUCAGCUAUCAAAAAUGAGGAAACUAACACAAAAUGAGGAAACUCAAAAUACUUGGUAGGGCACUGACAUGAAAUCCUAUACUCAUAUCCCUGCUCUGAAUCAUGCUGGCCAUAUUUAGUAAACCUAGGACUCCUACUCCCCUAGUGAAUAAUCCAAACUGGAAGGCAAAUGCGUGUUUUUAGAAGUGGAGAUGGAGACAUUCUGGCUGCUAGCAGGGACCCUUAAUACCUGGGAAAGGACUCAACCUUUGCUUCAAGCAUGAUCCGUCUACAAAAGAUGGAUUAUUAAGGCAAACUGCUAGUAUGUGGAUGAUUCACUUGAUUUAUGAGGAAGAAAAUGGAUUAAAGGAGAUCUUUGAAAACUAAGUUUUGUGCAUCAGGUUGGACUAUGCAACAAAAGAUUAUUGAGAAAAAUAUUUCUCACCAAUGUAUUGUUAAGGAAACAUUGUGAUUUCAUAGGUAGAAUCCAUUUAAUCUUUUUGACUGCAGCCAAAAAUAUAAUCCUCCCUGGAUAAGAUGCUUAAGAGGUGCUGAGCAGUUUCAAAUCCUACAACUAUU
rnacentral:lncRNA from 1 species